GACGAACGCUGGCGGCGUGCUUAACACAUGCAAGUCGAACGGAAAGGCCCUGCUUUUGUGGGGUGCUCGAGUGGCGAACGGGUGAGUAACACGUGAGUAACCUGCCCUUGACUUUGGGAUAACUUCAGGAAACUGGGGCUAAUACCGGAUAGGAGCUCCUGCUGCAUGGUGGGGGUUGGAAAGUUUCGGCGUUUGUGGAUGGACUCGCGGCUUAUCAGCUUGUUGGUGGGGUAGUGGCGUACCAAGGCUUUGACGGGUAGCCGGCCUGAGAGGGUGACCGGCCACAUUGGUACUGAGGUACGGCCCAGACUCCUACGGGAGGCAGCAGUGGGGAAUAUUGCACAAUGGGCGGAGGUCUGAUGCAGCAACGCCGCGUGCGGGAUGACGGCCUUCGGGUUGUAAACCGCUUUCGCCUGUGACGAAGAGUGAGUGACGGUAAUGGGUAAAGAAGCACCGGCUAACUACGUG
rnacentral:rRNA from 1 species